GUGUUUGCUUCUGCAGCACAUAUACUAAGAUUGGAACCAUACAGAGAAGAUUAGCAUGGCCCAAGGAUUAACAUUAUGUGAUGAUGACAUGCAAAUUCGU
rnacentral:snRNA from 1 species